ACAUCCAAGCUAACAUCAGCUAGUUACUGUACAGGCAUGGUGGCAGAUCUUCUGUACCUGCCUAACACAAAUCUCCUGCUCCCUGUCUUUCUGCACAGCAUCUCCUGUGGUCACAGCUGAGACCCUGUGGUGCCCAGCUGAUUGUUUUUGCCCAGACAUUCUGCAGGACUCCAUCAUCCAUCUCGGCAUUCCACAAUAAAGGGACUGGAGCAUCGCUCCGGUGUUUUGUAGCAAUCCUGUAGACCCAAGCCCAGAAGCCCUGCAACACAAGUUCUGCUUGCUGCCAACAGGGGUAACGCAAGGAACUUCCAUGAAACCUCUCCAGAUUCUGAUUUAUCUACUGAGUGGGGGAUGGAUCAUUAGUGGAGAACAAGUGCCACCAGUGGUGACCAAAAGCUAUGGUCACCUAACCACCCCCUGAAGUGCCUGAUGAAGUACCCAGGAGUGCACAUCUGUUGUGUGAAAACCCUGAUGGUGGGCAGCACUUGGAGCUGUCAUCAGCAACUGGUCCUUUAGUACUUCUUCAAGCAAGUGCUGCAAACACAGGGAGGACAGGACACCCUUUCCCUGCCCCUGCUGUAAAAGUGAUGCACAUAAAUGGGUGAGCUCGAUUGUCCCAUAUUUCAGGCCAACAUCUUUCACAAGCAUUUCAGGAACAGCUUCAAAGGCAUGCAGCUCGAACUAAUGAGAAGCAUACAGGAGGUCAGAAUUACUGUCUAGUCUUGGAAAAAUCAGAAUAUAUAUUCUUUUUUCUUUUUCUGUUUUUAUCAGGCAUUUUUCUUUAAAAUAGAUAAGCAACUUCUUUUAUAAGAAACCUGGAAAUGAUUGCUUAAAAUUAGUAAGUUACAAUUCCAAUGAAUGGCCUAUCUGGAGCAGCUGGGUUUAAACACUCAAGGGAGAAGUUGGGGAAAGGAAAGGGAAAAAACAGGAGUACAUGAUUGUUUCUGUGCUGAUUCACAGAUCUGUUUGCCAUCAAAUCUCUCAUUGUGGUGGUGACAUGGACUUGUUACAGCUAAAAGCAAAGAAUGCAGAAAGUAAGAGCAU